AUUGAACGCUGGCGGCAGGCCUAACACAUGCAAGUCGAGCGGAUGAAGGGAGCUUGCUCCUGGAUUCAGCGGCGGACGGGUGAGUAAUGCCUAGGAAUCUGCCUGGUAGUGGGGGAUAACGUCCGGAAACGGGCGCUAAUACCGCAUACGUCCUGAGGUAGAAAGUGGGGGAUCUUCGGACCUCACGCUAUCAGAUGAGCCUAGGUCGGAUUAGCUAGUUGGUGGGGUAAAGGCCUACCAAGGCGACGAUCCGUAACUGGUCUGAGAGGAUGAUCAGUCACACUGGAACUGAGACACGGUCCAGACUCCUACGGGAGGCAGCAGUGGGGAAUAUUGGACAAAGGGCGAAAGCCUGAUCCAGCCAGGCCGCGUGUGUGAAGAAGGUCUUCGGAUUGUAAAGCACUUUAAGUUGGGAGGAAGGGCAGUAAGUUAAUACCUUGCUGUUUUGACGUUACCAACAGAAUAAGCACCGGCUAACUUCGUG
rnacentral:rRNA from 1 species